rnacentral:rRNA from 1 species
UACGUAGGGUGCGAGCGUUAAUCGGAAUUACUGGGCGUAAAGCGUGCGCAGGCGGGCUUUUAAGCCAGACGUGAAAUCCCCGGGCUUAACCUGGGAAUGGCGUUUGGGACUGGAAGUCUGGAGUGCGGCAGAGGAGACUGGAAUUCCUGGUGUAGCAGUGAAAUGCGUAGAUAUCAGGAGGAACACCGAUGGCGAAGGCAGAUCUCUGGGCCGUAACUGACGCUGAGGAGCGAAAGCGUGGGGAGCAAACAGG